AUUGAACGCUGGCGGCAGGCCUAACACAUGCAAGUCGAGCGGAGCGGCGGACGGGUGAGGAAUGCCUAGGAAUCUGCAUGGUAGUGGGGGAUAACGUCAGGAAGCGGGCGCUAAUACCGCAUACUAUCAGAUUAGCCUAGGUCGGAUUAGCUAGUUGGUGGGGGAAAGGCCAACCAAGGCGACGAUCCGUAACUGGUCUGGGAGGAUGAUCAGUUACACUGGAACUGAGACACGGUCCAGACUCCUACGGUAGGCAGCAGUGGGGAUUAUUGGACAAUGGGCGAAAGCCUGAUCCAGCCAUGCCGCGGGUGUGAAGAAGGUCUUCGGUUUGUAAAGCACUUUAAGUUAGGAGGCGUUACCAGCAGAAUAAGCACCGGCUAACUUCGUGCCAGCCGCCGCGGUAAUUC
rnacentral:rRNA from 1 species